AUGGGGGCAACCCUGAUCCAGCAAUGCCGCGUGUGUGAAGAAGGCCUUCGGGUUGUAAAGCACUUUUGUCCGGAAAGAAAGCUCCCACCAUAAUAUGAUGGGGGUAUGACGGUACCGGAAGAAUAAGCACCGGCUAACUACGUGCCAGCAGCCGCGGUAAUACGUAGGGUGCGAGCGUUAAUCGGAAUUACUGGGCGUAAAGAGUGUGUAGGCGGUGAUGUAAGAGCGAUGCGAAAUCCCUGGGCUUAACCUAGGAACUGCAUUGGUGACUGCAUUGCUAGAGUAUGGCAGAGGGGGGUGGAAUUCCACGUGUAGCAGUGAAAUGCGUAGAGAUGUGGAGGAACAUCGAUGGCGAAGGCAGCCCCCUGGGCUAAUACUGACGCUCAUGCACGAAAGCGUGGGGAGCAAACAGGAUUAGAUACCCUGGUAGUCCACUCCU
rnacentral:rRNA from 1 species